rnacentral:lncRNA from 1 species
GGUGGGUGAUAAACCCACUCUGGCGCCGGCCGUGCGCUGGGUGAUUAAUUUGCGAACAAACAAAAGCGGCCUGGUGGCCACCGCAUUCGGGUUAAACAUUGGCUAGCGAGUUCCGAAGACUUGUGCCAGGCCUGGCGGCCGGGAGAACUCACAGGCUAGUGCGCACCCGGCCCCGGGCGUUUAGGCUCCCGCCUCGGGCUCUACACGAUCUUCUUUUUUUUCCUUCCAUGCAGACCCCUUCGGUCGUCUCUCUCCCCGCCUCAUGUUCAACAAAAGACAGACCGGAACACUGAAGGAGCCUGCUCCUCGGCCAAGCCCGAGAUGCCAUGCUUUAAAAGAAUGGGGGAAAGGGGCCAAAAUUUGAAUCCAAGAUGCGGUCCGAAACUCCUGGUGUACCCCCAAUAUUUCUCCAUCUUUUGCCAAGAGUAUUCACUUAAUUGUAGGCCCGAUUUUUUAAAAGGUUAAAAAAAACCCUCCCCAAAUCUGCAACGCUUAAGGCGAAGGNAAGAAGUCUUGUAAAUGCGGAUGUUAAAGUGGGGAAGGGGCAGGGGGAGCCUCAGAAUAAGUGUACGUACACGGGAAGCCGAAUCACCUAGCCUCAGCGCAGGCCACAGACGCCGCCGCAGAGAAGCUAGCUUUACCAAAGAAUCAGCUCUCGGAAAGCCUCUGCUGAUCCCACUUUUCCCUGUGGCGCCGCCUGCCUCGAACUAUAAAGGGGGCAAAUCGACCCCUUUGUGACCGAAAAGUGUUUAUCUGAAGUUUACAAAAAAGGGGGGGAAUGUGCGGAGGCGGGGGAAGGAUGGUGGGUAGGAGGGGUCGUUUACUUUGGCAAGUUUGCUGUAAAUAUUCUUUUUUUGGCAUGCGUGAGGUCUGGCGAGGGACUAUUACACGCUUAUUCCCUCUUAAACUUUCACCCGCCGUUUGCCGCGGAGGUUUUUUUUUUUUUCUUCAGGCGGAGGUGUCGCUAAAUUUGGAACUCUGUUGACAUAAGAACAUCCCGGGGUUUCUCCAGGGGUCUGAGGCCUGAGUUUCCAAUCGGGGUCGGUUCAGACAUAAACUUUUUUUUUUUGAGGGGGGUUCUGGAUAGAGGUGGCUCUCUGUUUUUGCCCGGUGUCCCCUUCCUGAGAUCCCAGGCUCUUUGGAUAUUGACAAGCUUUGAAAUUGACUAGGUUCCUGCUCCAGGACCCCCAGCCUCCUUCCGGCUCAAUACCCCUAACUGGAGGUGACUUUCAGGUCCCGGACCUCAUGGAGGCCACUCCCUCAGGGGGAUGCCCAGGUUACAGGAUUCCUCCUGCAAAUAGGCUAGCACCCUCCUCCCCACAUUAACUCCCCUGCACUACUCCAAACCCUAGGUCUCUCCAAAGCAGUUCUGAAGUCAAUGGAGGACUCCAGACCUGGGAGGCUUGAUUUUCCUUCUGGAGUUUCGAAUCUCCCCCCUCAUCCCCACCCCAACUUGGUUUAAGAGCCUAAUUGCUCUCAGGUCUGGAGGCUUCCAGAUCAGUUUCUUUGACUAAGAGUCAGUUUGCCCAUCUUUCUUCCCUCCCAGGGCAUAGGCACAAAACUCUUGGUUGGACCAGAGAGGGCAUUCACUUCUGUUUUCUUUUCUUUUUUCUUUUCCUUCCUUCCCCACUUCCUUCCUUCCUUUUUUUUUCCUCUCUUCUCUGUCCAUGUUUUUCAAUAUUCUGUGAUUGCCAAUCUCUGCCCUUUCUUCUCCUGUUUCCUUCUAUUUUCUCUUCCCUCCCUGGCAUCAUUCUUAUUCUUGGCUUCUAUGCCUCUUUGCCAGUCUCACGCGCCAACCUUUCCUCCUCUUAUUCUCUCUGGUUUUGAUUUACUCUCUUUCUUUUUCUUUCUUCUCCCUGUUUAUUUUCUCUGGCCUUCUUGGUCCUUCCUGAAUUCUUUCCUGCCUUUCUGUAUUUCUGGUUUGCCUCUGUAUACCCCCACCACCACCACCACCAUGUUUUCCAGGGACCAUGACAGGCUGGAGAUACUACUUCGUCCUUGGUUGGUUUCAAGCAAACACCUUCCCCUCCCGCCCUUGGCCAGCAAGAUAAGGUGUCCUGAGAGAUAGAAAAGUGUCAGGCCCAUUUGUGUAGGUCUCUUGCUGCCUUUGGUAGCCUCAAAAUCAUCCCUUUUCCCAGAGCUGGCUCUCACCCCUGUUCCAAGAUUCUGAUCCCCAUUCUCUUUCUCUCUCUCUCCCCUCCUUUCCAAGGUAGGAGCACAGGAUGAAGCAUAGCAUGUCGGGCCCUAAAGCCCCAGCUCCUUGCCUCUGUCUCACUCCAGCAGCACAGGAUUUUCCUGUAAGGCACAUUUCCCUGUCCUCUGACAGCCCUCUAAAUUAUUGAUCAGGCCGAUUCAGUGCAAGAGUCUGAAACAUGUGUGAGAGAGAGAAGAUUGUCAAAGUUGUCUAGCUUGGGGAAGCAGUAUUUUUAGUACAGAGGCUCACUUUGGCGCCAGCUGGUUUAUGCUGUUUCCAGAGCAUCAUUCGUUAUACACUUAAUCCAUGCUUAUCAUACCUCCUUUUAAUGUAAAUAUGUGUUUGGCAGAGGCGAAAUGAAAAGAUUUCACUCUCUGCAUUAUUUUUAUUAGCACCCACCUUUCAUCAAAGCUGAUCGCUCUGCAAAAUGGCAAAUUUGUAAACAGCGAGUGAUUUAGAGAAGUUGGAAGGGAAACUAGGAGGGAAAGGAUGAAGGAAGUGUGUGUGCCUGGGGAGAGUGCCUCUCACACAUCUGCGAAGGUUCUCUCUCUCUCCCCCCCUCUCUCUCUGUCAGGAAAAGGAACUAAUUGUGGUUUCCUAAUUUCAAACCAAUCUGCAUCUUCAAUGCUCUCUUUGUGUUUUACCCAAUUACUUAAAAAAAAAUCAGGAUAAUGCAAUGGACAUUUCUUAGUCCAGCAGAAAUGAAUUCACUUAGGAAGAGGCCAGGGAUUUUCUUUUUCCCUCUCAUUUUAUCUGACCCAGAUCUGCAAGAGGCAGGGGCAGAACUCACUUCAGCUUCGGGCACCGGUGACCACUACAAAUCUUUCUUCCUUCACCUUCCUCUUUCCAGAGACAGGUAAGGGUGUAAAUAGCCUUUCAGCGAUUGGGCCCAGAAAUGUGGCUUAGGGGGUGGUGGUGAGGAUCUUAGGGACAGAAUGCUUAAAAAGGGUGAAGGGAAAUAUAAUGAUAUAUUCUCCAAUCCCCAACUGCAGCUCAGGGGUGUCAACUGAACAGGAGCCCUUAAUUCUGUGACUUCCUGCUUUUGCUCCUGUCCCUUAUUUCUAAGGGCAUGGGGGAAGUGGGCAUGGGGGCAUGGGGGAAGUGGGGUCUCGCCUUGUGAGAGCAGCCAGGGUAGAGGGGCCAGGGAGACCUUGUAAGUGAGAGGGCAUGGCAAAUCAAAUGACCGUUCCUGUCAGGGAGGUUGACAGGGCAAAGAAAGAUCAGCUCCUCCAAAUCUGCUGAACUAACUGUCCCCUGGUAGCCAGAGACACGUUUUCUCAAUUUGAGCACAAUAUCCAUUACUAUUUCCCAUACUGGGUUUCAAUUAAAGAGGGUGAGAGAAAAGAGGGAAGGCAGGAGAUAAAUGAAAGGGACAGUGAAAGCCCAAAGUUGGGGGGUUGGGUGUGUUUGUCCUCUUUUCUUUCCAUGUCUUUCUUAUAACCUCACCACUGCUCCUGGCCAGCCAGCCAAUCUGCCUGUCUUCCCAACAAUAAUGUUUUAAUGUCUCCCAAAUGCAGUAGGGUGAGGAGAUGAGGAAGGAGGUCACACUCACAGAGCUUCUUUCAUACUAGUGAAGCCCCCAAGAGAUGUAGCGGUCCCUGGGGUGGGGAUGGGGGACGAUGACUUUGGGGAGGAGUUUGCUCUGCCUGUGUGGUCAUGGGGCUGCAGGGAUCUGAGGGGCAUGGAUGUUUAAGGUUCCAGGCUUUAUACUGUCUUACUGGAAACUGAUAAAAUCCCUUCUCCCUUGCCUAAUCCUAUGAACAGUAAACUUUUCUGUGGUUCUAAGACACAGGGUGGGAGAAGUGUGGGGUUUCACCUGCUCCCCUGGCAUGCCUGCCUGUCGGUUGAGAGAUUUGCAAACAUGCUUCUAAGGCCAGGAUUUGGGUUGUGGAUGCAGGAUCGAAGUUCCAGGCCUACCUAGCCUUUCUGUCACUGAACGGUUGACAACUCUCCGGCCAAACACACUUCUCCCAACUUGGAAUCAAGCACCAGCUCCUUUACCUCCUCUGCAUUCUGUGAUCACUGACCCUGUACCAGGGCCAUUCAGACAACUGGGCAGGGGUCGCUGCCCCUCUGUGUCUUAAUUACCUGGCCAUCUGAGGGAGCCUCUUCCUCCGUGUCAGUAAAAGAAAUUAGAGGCCUCAGCGAUGUGACUUCAUUCUAAGUCGGAGAUGUCUUGCUUCCAACCCAAUCGUCCUUGCCUCCAAAUAACACCUAAAUCCUGCCUAGUAGAACCAUCCUAGGGGUGAUCCGACUGAACCGGAGGGACAGUUCUCCGGCUCUCCACCAGAGCUGAAUGCUUGGAUGAAUGUUGUGACCUUAGAGAGCCCAGAAGCCUUUAAAAAGUCUCCAGCUUGCCCUUGGAAUACAGGAGGGCUUUCCUUUCUUUUAAAAUUUGCAUUAAUGUUUCGGAGAGAGAAGAGAGAGAGGCAGAGACACACAUGCAUAGAAAGAGGGAAUGUUUGGAAUUGUGAGAGAGCUUUUCCUAAGAGUUGCUUUUGCUGGCGCCCAGGCCCCAGUUCAUUUCAUCUCCAAGCCAAAUAUGAAAAAUCCUUCUGGACAGCGGGGCAGGAGGGCAGAGAGGAACCGGCUUCCUGGUCUAGGAAUCAACCUGCCCCCUGCCUUUCCUGGCAAUGCCCUUGUCUCCUUUCGAUUGAGAAAGGAACACUUCGGGCCCCAGGAAUUGGUGAGAGAUGGUGAGAGCCUAGGGCUUCCUGUAAGGUCCUUUUGGCAACAGUCCCCCCCAACCCUCCAACCCCGGGGGGUGGGUCCCCUACCGCCGCCCCUCCCCCCUUACCCUGGUUCCAAAUACGGAAGCUGGACGUGCCUCCCUGCGGCUCCAGGCCUCGCCCAGCACAGUUCGGGAGAAGACAAGCCGCUCGCGGCCUCGGAUUACACCGGCACCCGGGGGUGGAGGGGCUCGGGGCUCGGAUCGCGGGAGCCCCCAUCGCCCAUACCGGCCCGCGGGGAAGCAAAGGGGUUUCCCGACCGGCUGGCCUGUCCUGACCCUCGGUCGCCACAGGGUCCCUCCCAGGCCUGGAAACCCGCGACCGCGGGCACUGGCUCUGCGCCGGUUACCUGCCUUCCCGUUGCCGCUGCAGGGGCGAGGCGAGGCCGGCUUCCCUGGUGGGAGAGCGGCCGGCCCGGUCUGCGGAACUCGCGUCUUUUCUCUAUGAGAACUAAACCUAAGAUCGCAGGGAUUCAGUUAGGAGCCCCUCACCUCCCCCGAAGGCCCGAGGUGUCUUUUCUGCAGCCUUGAUUCCUAACUCACACCCCGGUUGCAAAGAACCUAUGGGGAGAGGGUCUAUAGUAAAGACUUUAAGGAUGCGGGGGCGGGUACCAAAAAUAAGAGCGCGGUAGCACUCUGUGUCUCUCAAAGUGAUGGGGAAACAAUUGCAAAGAGAUAGCUUCCUGGGAGAAAAACAAGGCACAGAGGGAAGCAGGCUGAUCCCGGAGAGAUUUCCUUCGUGCAGAGGUAGGGUGGGCUGGAGGGAGCCAUCUCCUUUUCCACCGCUGGGGUGUGUUUUUACAUGUUUUCUUAGCAGCAAGUUCUAUAAACAGGUCAGCCCUCCGCUGCCAGCCUAGGGAGUCUGAGGCUGUCUCUGGCUUCCAGUGUAGACGCCUCUCAUUCUUCCUCGCCCUGGUACAAGUCAAACGCGAAGGGUAGGAGGGGGCGAGCCACUUCCCACUUCUGACUGUUUUGAAAUAGCUUCUCUUGUCUUCAGACGGUAAAAUAUGAGUUCCCCAUAUGUCUGAGUCUGGUCUUCUGGUACCUCAAGCAAGGUUAGGGUAGUGGGGGGUGGGGGCUGCUCUAAUUAUCUUGGAGCUGAACGGGGGGUGGGGCGGGGGAUUCUGUCUUUUCAGUCCACCCUGCCGGGGUGCCCCGGCGGGUUAUUAAACCCAGACGCUCAGUCCAGGAGUUGGGGCCAUGCGGAAAAGAUUUACAAUUAAGCCAAUUGAGGCAGAAUACAACCAUCCAAAGUUUGCAGGUGUAAAUAAUGCCUUGCCUUCCCCCCCCAUUCCAAGAGACUUCGUUUCAAUCCCCCUUCCACCCCCCCCCAGUUACUUUGGAGCAUGGGAGUGAUGGUGCAGUAGAGCUAGGAUUUUUCUAUUAGACAAUUAAAAUAUGAUGUUGCACUCACUUCAAUGUCCGUGUAUUAAUGCCAUGGACAACCAGGACAGGCUUCUCUAUUUCAUUUCUCCAUCUAAACUGAGAAUUGUUGGAGUCACUUAAAACCUUUUCAGUGUAGGUUAUGAAUUCUCUCUUUUUUUUAAGGGAGUGGGACAGAUUUCUAUUUAUCAGGGAUAUUGGAGUUUUUUAGUUAUAGAGAUUGAGGGAGGAAGGGAUCAGAAAAAAAAAAAAAAAAAA